ACCCAGUUGAUGCAAACCACAGAGACCAAAAUCCUGCGUGGCCGUGACGGACGAGAAAGGAAAGUGGAAUAUAGCUUGGAUGACAAGGGGAAGAAAAGGAGGAAGAAAUUAAGAUUGCCUGCUGAAGAGCAAGUGGGAAAAAAAACGUCGCAUGCAUGCUAGAGUAGCACUCCACAUUGACUGUGCUCCCAGCACAUGUUCAUUUCAUUUGUAAAAG